GGGGCAGUGAUUGGCUAAGGUGCCAGAAUGGAUUAUGGAUGGCCAGCAGUCUAACAACCCUACAGAGGGCAGGAGUCAGAUUUGUGAGGGUGCAACUAAAGGAACUUGACUGGCGUGCAUCCCAUUGACAGUCCGAUGAGGGUAAACUGACCCUAACCUCAAUCAAAUCCCUAACACAGACUGUGCCACAGGUAUGUGCGAGGCAGGGCGGUCUGGGGUUUGACUCUGAGCUGCAGGAGCUCUACUCAGCCGUCACGUCCUACGGCAACACCAACGCUCGCAAACGUAAGAUCUCUGAGAGACACGCCCCCGAAGAGGACGAAUCCACCACAGAGGACCGUGACCCUAACCACUCCGCCAGCGGCACACAGCCCCCAGGAGAGGAGGUGAACCAUGGGCUGGACCAGGGGGAUAAGAGGCAGACUGGACGGGGGGACCGAGCCAGAACCACAGACUCAGAGACACCUAAUGAGGAAAAGACUACAGUUCCCAUGGCUACUGCCGCAGAUCGGCCCUCCGCCCGACCCAAGAAGAAGAAAGCUAAGGGGCUUUUUGGAUGACCUCGGAACCUGUAGGGCACCAAACACUAUGGAGACUGUCUGCGACUACGUCCCAAAUGACACGGUCAAAAGUAGUGCACUACUAUGUAGGGGAUGGGGUGUCGUUUGGGAUGCCGUCUAUGAGCACUACCACCUUACUUCAUGUGACAUGUUUUUCAAGUACUCAUCUACGGAGAUGUCCUUUUUUUAAAAACAUUUUUUUUAAUUAAAUCAUUAGAUAUG